rnacentral:lncRNA from 1 species
CUAUCAGUAUCUUUAUCUGUGUAUCUACAGUCACCCGGAAAGGGAAGUCAUUAAAUGCUAACUGUGGGAUCAGGGAGAUUUUUUUCCUUUUUCUUAUUAUCCACUUUCUAUGUGUCCUGAAUUUUCCAUAAGCAUUAUGUUCCCCUAAUAAAACUGAAAUUUUCCAUUGAAGAAGAGAGAAACGUGCUGUUUCUUACGAAGAUGGUCUUUGAAAAGCGGUGUUCACAGUAUGCCUGGUCUUCCUUCUGCUCCAGUUAGGGCUGACCCCUCCUCCCUCUGCCAAUCGUAUACAGGGUUUUUCAGAAUUUAUGACGCCUUGUAUUCCUUAUUUGCUCUCAGAAAUCACCUACCGCCCUGACCAGAGUUUGCGCAGCCACCUGUAGACUGCCAAGAUGAAAGAAAAGAAAGUCCCGUGCAGACGCUUACUCUCUGUCAGGUAAGUAGCCGGAGACUGGCCGGGACUGACCGCACCCCACAGCAUUCAGGCUCUGCGCUGUCAGCAUGAGCCCAGCGUGGGGCUUGAACUCACAAACCAGGAGGGGAUGACCUGAGCCGAAGUCACGAGCUGGAUUCUUAACCGUCUGAGCCACCUGCGUGCUCCAGGGUGUUAGGAUUUCGAGGCAACGGGCCCCUUAUGUCUUUUGAGUGUCUUCCUGUGAACCUUUUCUUUCUGUUGCAGUUGUCAGCAGGACUUCACAUCUUCAAAGUCACAGUUUCCAGGGAUGAAGCCCCGGAGAAGGAUUCACAGAUGUCACCACGAAGCCAGCCUAAGAGCCGCCCUGCCUGUGGCAUCGGCCUUCCCGGACGGAACCGUGGGUGUCAGGGACACCUAAGAGUGACCGCCCCACGGGCUGCAGAUUUAUCGGUGUUCCCUGUGCAGGCUGGGAGGCCUCACACCCCUGCGCGGGGCCUAGCUAUUGGAUUUGGAAUUAAUGCAGUUGUUAGGGCGUCUCCUUUUGACGAAGCAUCUGAGAUGANNNNNNNNNNNNNNNNNNNNNNNNNNNNNNNNNNNNNNNNNNNNNNNNNNNNNNNNNNNNNNNNNNNNNNNNNNNNNNNNNNNNNNNNNNNNNNNNNNNNAAAAAACUGAGGGGGCUGGUUCCGAGGUAGCUCAAUCGUUAAGGCGCUCAACUCUUGAUGUCAGCUCAGGUCAUGUUCUCACAGUUGUGGGAUCCAUCUUCUCGUCGUGCUCUGUGAUGACAGCACAGAACCUGCUUGGGAUUCUCUCUCUUUCUCUCUCUGCCUCUCUCCUACUUGCCUGUGCGCAUAUAUCGUGAGCAUUCACUUUCUGAAAGUAAAUAAAUAAAUAUCGGAACAAAAAGACCACACUUAUGAAUUGGUCAUUGCUUCCUUUUUGAAAGGGGUCAUGGAUUAUCUGUUCAAUGUCUCACUGUGCAAUGUUGCAAGAGUUUGGCCUCUGGAUCUCAAUAUGCAAUUUCUAGAAACUCCUCUGACUCCCAUACUGAGAUUCAGAAGUUUUAUUGUAGAAGCCUCCCAAGAAACUCUUGCUUUUUCCGUUGAGAACCUCUCUUUUUGGUCCAUAAUUCUGCAGAAUUAGACAUGCCCAGUCGUACCUGUAAGUUCUUUGUGUAUCUUGGGACUCACUUUAUCAGGACCUCCGACUGGAAUAUGAGCUCCUCAGGGAGUUUUAGUUCCCUGCUCUAGCAUAUGUAGGGGCUCCAUAUACUUUUAAAAAUAUAACAGCCAUAUGGAAAUAUAAUUUAUAUCCCAUGAAUUCAGUAAUUUUUAAUAUAUUCACAGAUUUACAUACAUCACCCUAAUUUUAGAAGUCUUCAUCACCUCAUUAACAAAACCUCGUACUACCCACUAAUCAACCCAUCCUGUCAGUUCCUGGCACCAUUAAUUUACUCUCUAUUUCUGUGGCCCUACCUAUUCUGGAUAAUUCAUUUAAAUUGGAUCAUACAAUAUGUAUGAGGCCUUCUGUGAUUGGCUCUUUUUUCACUUGACAUGGUGUUGUUAAGAUUCAUCCAUGUCAUAGCAGGUAACUCAUAUCUUUGUUGCCAAGUGACAUUGCAUCCUAUGGGUAUACCACAUUUUUAUCAGUUCUUAUGUGGGUGCACAUUUGGAGUAAUUCUACUUUCUGGUAACCGUGAAGGUUAUUGCGUGGGUUGAUGAACAGGUUUGUGGGUGGAUACGUAUUUCCAGUUCUCCUGGGUAUAUACCGAGGACUGGAAUAGUAAGUAUGCUUGACCAUUUGAGGAAUGGCCCCAACUGUUCCAACGUGGCCGUACCAUUUUACAUCGUCACCAGCAAUGGGCAAAGGUCCCGAUCUCUUCUCAUCUUCUACCCUUGGUGUUGUGUCUUUUUUAGUAUAGAUGUUGGAUGAAAGUCAUGUGGGCAGGUGUGAAAUGAUAUCUCCUUGUAGUUGGGUUUGCAUUUCUCUCCUGACUAAUAAUGUUGAGCAUUUUUUUCAUAUGCUCAUUGGGUAGUUGUAUAUCUUUGGUGGAAUGUUUGUUUAAAUCCUGCACCCAUUUUUUAAAUCUUGGCUAUCUGUGUUUUUAUUGUUGAGUUGUAUUUGGG